UGAGGAAUAUUGGUCAAUGGGCGAGAGCCUGAACCAGCCAAGUAGCGUGCAGGAUGACGGCCCUAUGGGUUGUAAACUGCUUUUAUAUGGGAAUAAAGUGAGGGACGUGUCCCUUAUUGCAUGUACCAUACGAAUAAGGACCGGCUAAUUCCGUGCCAGCAGCCGCGGUAAUACGGAAGGUCCAGGCGUUAUCCGGAUUUAUUGGGUUUAAAGGGAGCGUAGGCUGUUUGUUAAGCGUGUUGUGAAAUGUAAGAGCUCAACUUUUAGAUUGCAGCGCGAACUGGCAGACUUGAGUGCGCACAACGUAGGCGGAAUUCAUGGUGUAGCGGUGAAAUGCUUAGAUAUUGGGAGGAACACCAGUAGCGAAGGCGGCUUUCUGGACUGCAACUGACACUGAGGCACGAAAGCGUGGGUAGCAAACAGG
rnacentral:rRNA from 1 species